GUUUCUUUGGAGACAUCCGAUAAAAUUGAGAAGAUUAGCAUGGCCCUGUACAAAGAUGACACACAAAUCGAGAAAUGGUUAAUGUUUAA
rnacentral:snRNA from 1 species